rnacentral:rRNA from 1 species
UACAGAGGUCCCAAGCGUUGUUCGGAUUCACUGGGCGUAAAGCGUGCGCAGGCGGUGAUGUAAGACAGAUGUGAAAUCCCCGGGCUCAACCUGGGAACUGCAUUUGUGACUGCAUCGCUGGAGUGCGGCAGAGGGGGAUGGAAUUCCGCGUGUAGCAGUGAAAUGCGUAGAUAUGCGGAGGAACACCGGUGGCGAAAGCGCUCUGCUAGGCCGCAACUGACACUCAUGGACGAAAGCUAGGGGAGCGAAUGGG